CCUACGGGAGGCAGCAGUGGGGAAUUUUGGACAAUGGGCGAAAGCCUGAUCCAGCAAUGCCGCGUGUGUGAAGAAGGCCUUCGGGUUGUAAAGCACUUUUGUCCGGAAAGAAAUCCUCUGGGUUAAUACCUCGGGGGGAUGACGGUACCGGAAGAAUAAGCACCGGCUAACUACGUGCCAGCAGCCGCGGUAA
rnacentral:rRNA from 1 species